rnacentral:rRNA from 1 species
CAGUAGCCGCGGUAAUACGAACCGUGCGAACGUUAUUCGGAAUUACUGGGCUUAAAGCGCGUGUAGGCGGCUCGGCACGUCGGACGUUGAAAGCCCCCGGCUCAACCGGGGAAGUGGCGCCGAUACGGCCGAGCUGGAGGGAGGUAGGGGGGUCUGGGACUUCCGGUGGAGCGGUGAAAUGCGUUGAGAUCGGAAGGAACGCCCGUGGCGAAAGCGAGGCCCUGGACCUUUUCUGACGCUGAGACGCGAAAGCCAGGGGAGCGAACGGGAUUAGAUACCCCUGUAGUCCCUGUCUCUUAUA